rnacentral:misc_RNA from 1 species
GUGAUCCAUUUCAAGUAUCUACUUUUGAAGUCUUGCCCUGGCUGAUCAUGCAGGUUGUACAGGGAAUGGGGCGCAUUUGUAGAGACUAUGGAGUUGGGACUGCAGCUUAGAGUUGUGGUGGUGUUGAUGUUGGUUUUUUUUUUUUUUUUUUUUUUUUGAUUUUGGAGUUGUUUAUUUAGUAAAUUGAUUGUGCGUACCCUCAAAGAUUCAACAAGAAUCUGGUGCGGGAAGCUCUAAGGCUGCCGAGCAACAAGCUAGGCCCACUCCGAUUAAGGACACCAAUGGGGACAGUAGCUCAAAGACAAACACUGACUGUGAGCCCAUUCAACCACUUGCAAUCAGGGCAAACCACCCAAGAAGACAAAAACAUGUUUUCUAGUUGCCUUGACAAUCUUUUAGUGUGUUUUUACAUUGUGAUUAGCUAUUGUGUUUGAAACGUAACUAUCAUGAUUAACUUGGAGCAUCUGUGUUAGCUAUUUUGUGAUUGCUACCCUUUUAAAUGCUAACAUAAAGGGUAGUGAUAUGUGUCCUACGUGUAUUUUAUGGUUUAUGUUAAUAUUAUUGUGGCUGCCGUCGAAAACAAAUGGCUUAAUGUGUAGGGUGUUCAUUUAGU